rnacentral:rRNA from 1 species
GUGGGGAAUUUUGGACAAUGGGCGCAAGCCUGAUCCAGCAAUGCCGCGUGCAGGAAGAAGGCCUUCGGGUUGUAAACUGCUUUUGUACGGAACGAAACGGUCCGGGCUAAUACCCUGGGCUAAUGACGGUACCGUAAGAAUAAGCACCGGCUAACUACGUGCCAGCAGCCGCGGUACUACGUAGGGUGCAAGCGUUAAUCGGAAUUACUGGGCGUAAAGCGUGCGCAGGCGGUUUUGUAAGACAGGCGUGAAAGCCCCGGGCUCAACCUGGGAAUUGCGCUUGUGACUGCAAGGCUGGAGUGCGGCAGAGGGGGAUGGAAUUCCGCGUGUAGCAGUGAAAUGCGUAGAUAUGCGGAGGAACACCGAUGGCGAAGGCAAUCCCCUGGGCCUGCACUGACGCUCAUGCACGAAAGCGUGGGGAGCAAACAGGAUUAGAAACCCUUGUAGUCC